rnacentral:rRNA from 1 species
UACGUAGGGUGCAAGCGUUGUCCGGAAUUAUUGGGCGUAAAGAGCUUGUAGGUGGCUCGUUGCGUCGGGAGUGAAAACCUGCGGCUUAACCGCAGGCCUGCUUCCGAUACGGGCGAGCUAGAGUUCGGCAGGGGAGACUGGAAUUCCUGGUGUAGCGGUGGAAUGCGCAGAUAUCAGGAGGAACACCGGUGGCGAAGGCGGGUCUCUGGGCCGAUACUGACACUGAGAAGCGAAAGCGUGGGGAGCGAACAGG